rnacentral:rRNA from 1 species
AUUGAACGCUGGCGGCAUGCCUUACACAUGCAAGUCGAACGGCAGCACGGGAGCAAUCCUGGUGGCGAGUGGCGAACGGGUGAGUAAUACAUCGGAACGUGCCCAUUAGUGGGGGAUAGCCCGGCGAAAGCCGGAUUAAUACCGCAUACGACCUACGGGUGAAAGCAGGGGAUCGCAAGACCUUGCGCUAUUGGAGCGGCCGAUGUCAGAUUAGCUAGUUGGNGGGUAAAGCCUACCAAGGCGACGAUCUGUAGCUGGUCUGAGAGGACGACCAGCCACACUGGGACUGAGACA